rnacentral:rRNA from 1 species
AUGCAGGUUCUAUUUUAUUGUUCCGAGACAUAUGAUGAUAGCAUUGAGAAUGAGAAAUCUUUGCAAAAUGCACGUAUUAUUAAGGAGUUCUGGAACGAUUACUACGCUAAGCUGUUGGAUAUUGACAAAACGAAAAAGACUUCUAAUGUUGAUAUGUAUCAGGAUGAUGUUAGAAAGUUGUUAAUUAAUGAAAAGAAGAAUCAAAAUGGUGUGUUUUCCGAUACUGAAUUAAUAGAUUUACAGAAUCAAAUUGCAAAUUGCACAAUGAAGUUCGAUGAGGAUAAUCUAUUUAAAGUAACUCCUAACAUAGUAAAGUUCUUGAUUAAUAAAGAUCAGCCUAACGAAGCAAUAUCUAAAGGGUUGCCUACCAAGUAG